AUUAAACGCUGGCGGCAUGCCUUACACAUGCAAGUCGAACGGUAGCGCGGGGCAACCUGGCGACGAGUGGCGAACGGGUGAGUAAAGCAUCGGAACGUGCCCUGGAAUGGGGGAUAACGUAGCGAAAGUUACGCUAAUACCGCAUAUUCUGUGAGCAGGAAAGCAGGGGAUCGCAAGACCUUGCGUUCUGGGAGCGGCCGAUGUCGGAUUAGCUAGUUGGUGGGGUAAAAGCCUACCAAGGCGACGAUCCGUAGCGGGUCUGAGAGGAUGAUCCGCCACACUGGGACUGAGACACGGCCCAGACUCCUACGGGAGGCAGCAGUGGGGAAUUUUGGACAAUGGGCGCAAGCCUGAUCCAGCCAUGCCGCGUGAG
rnacentral:rRNA from 1 species